rnacentral:rRNA from 1 species
CUUCGGUACAUCGGUGACAGGUGGUGCAUGGUUGUCGUCAGCUCGUGUCGUGAGAUGUUGGUUAAGUCCCGCAACGAGCGCAACCCCUAUUGUUAGUUGCCAUCAUUCAGUUGGGCACUCUAGCGAGACUGCCGGUAAUAAACCGGAGGAAGGUGGGGAUGACGUCAAAUCAUCAUGCCCCUUAUGACCUGGGCUACACACGUGCUACAAUGGUUGGUACAACGAGUUGCGAGUCGGUGACGGCGAGCUAAUCUCUUAAAGCCAAUCUCAGUUCGGAUUGUAGGCUGCAACUCGCCUACAUGAAGUCGGAAUCGCUAGUAAUCGCGGAUCAGCACGCCGCGGUCGAAUACGUUCCCGGGCCUU